rnacentral:lncRNA from 1 species
CAUAAAAUUGAUAAAAUUAGUUCUUAUUCAAACAUACCAAUUGCCCAUUCGGAUAUACAUGCUGCCAAAAUUUAUAAGAAUUGGAUCCAUAUAUAUUCAUGACAUGCUUAACUAAAACAUGGUAUUUAAUGUACCUACAUGCUGGACAAUAAGCAGCACAUCACUUAUGCAUAUAUAUCUUAAUCUUAUCACCAAUUUGAGCUUUCAAGGAUCCAAUUAAAUAUAUACACCAACCAAAGUACAAUAUCAUAGGUCAUCAUGAAGAAUAACUCAAUGAGACAAACCGUUUUGCUUUGGUAGAUGACUCUGUUUUGCUCGCUAAGUGGAGGGGACCUUCUUCAGUUUUCCAAUGUAAGGUCAGAACAAAUAUAACAUGCUCUAAAAAAUUUAAGAACAACAUCAGCGGCACGUGUGAUUAGUAGACUUUUAAUGUUUAUCCAAAUAUCAGUUACUGAUUAAGUUGUUU